CAAGCGUGAGGUAAGAGCAUUUGGUGGAUGCCUUGGCAUGUGCAGGCGAUGAAGGACGUGGCACGCUGCGAUAAGCGUCGGGGAGUUGUGAGCAAACUUUGAUCCGGCGAUUUCCGAAUGGGGAAACCCACCCUCACCAUUUCCUUUCGGUUGUCCUUUGGGGCGAUCGGAAAGAGGUGGAUAGGGUAUCACCAGACUGAAUAUAUAGGUUUGGUGAAGCGAACCCGGGGAACUGAAACAUCUCAGUACCCGGAGGAAAAGACAUCAACAGAGAUUCCCGUAGUAGUGGCGAGCGAACCGGGACCAGGCCAGUGCCUUCAUUUCAACUAGCAAAACACUUUGGAAAGAGUGGCCAUAGUGGGUGACAGCCCCGUAUGCGAAAGUGAUGAUGAAGGACUCGAGUAGGGCGGGACACGUGAAAUCCUGUCUGAACAUGGGGGGACCACCCUCCAAGCCUAAAUACUCGCACAUGACCGAUAGCGAACACAGUACCGUGAGGGAAAGGUGAAAAGCACCCCGAUUAGGGGAGUGAAACAGUACCUGAAACCGGAUGCUUACAAGCAGUUGGAGCCCCAUAGGGGGUGACAGCGUACCUCUUGCAUAAUGGGUCAGUGACUUAAUUUAUCGAGCAAGCUUAAGCCGUUAGGUGUAGGCGCAGCGAAAGCGAGUCUGAAUAGGGCGACUGAGUUCGAUGAAUUAGACCCGAACCCCGGCGAUCUAGGCAUGGCCAGGUUGAAGGUGCGGUAACACGCACUGGAGGACCGAACCGGUGAAUGUUGAAAAAUUCUCGGAUGAGCUGUGUUUAGGGGUGAAAGGCCAAUCAAGCCGGGAAAUAGCUGGUUCUCCGCGAAAUCUAUUGAGGUAGAGCGUCGGAUGUAUGCCGAUGGGGGUAGAGCACUGGAUGGGCUAGGGCUGCGCGAGCGGUACCAAACCUAACCAAACUCCGAAUACCAUCGAGUCUUAUCCGGCAGACAGACGGCGGGUGCUAAGGUCCGUCGUCAAAAGGGAAACAGCCCUAACCUACAGCUAAGGUCCCCAAGUCAUAUCUAAGUGGGAAAGCAUGUGGGAAUCCCAAAACAACCAGGAGGUUGGCUUAGAAGCAGCCAUCCUUUAAAGAAAGCGUAACAGCUCACUGGUCUAAAUAAGGGUUCCUGCGGCGAAGAUGUAACGGGGCUAAAGAUAUGCACCGAAGCUUAGGGUUCAGAAUUUAUUCUGAGCGGUAGCGGAGCGUUCCGUAAGCGAGUGAAGGCGAAGGGUAACCGACGCUGGACGUAUCGGAAGUGCGAAUGCUGACAUGAGUAGCGACAAAGAGGGUGAGAUGCCCUCUCGCCGAAAGACCAAGGGUUCCUGCGCAACGCUAAUCGGCGCAGGGUUAGCCGGCCCCUAAGACGAGCCCGAAGGGGGUAGUCGAUGGGAACCACGUAAAUAUUCGUGGGCCUGAAGAUGUGUGACGGAUCGUGGAAGUUGUUUUCUCUUAUUGGAUUGAGAGGGCAGCCAAGCGGUUCCAGGAAAUAGCCUCUUCACUAUAGACCGUACCCGAAACCGACACAGGUGGUCAGGUAGAGUAUACCAAGGCGCUUGAGAGAAGUAUCCUGAAGGAACUCGGCAAAUUGCCUCCGUACCUUCGGAAGAAGGAGGCCCCAUCUUAACGCAAGUUUUGGUGGGGGGCACAGGCCAGGGGGUAGCGACUGUUUAGCAAAAACACAGCACUCUGCUAAGUCGGCUUCAAGACGACGUAUAGGGUGUGACGCCUGCCCGGUGCUCGAAGGUUAAGAGGAGGAGUGCAAGCUCCGAAUUGAAGCCCGAGUAAACGGCGGCCGUAACUAUAACGGUCCUAAGGUAGCGAAAUUCCUUGUCGGGUAAGUUCCGACCUGCACGAAUGGCGUAACGACUUCCCCACUGUCUCCAGGAUAUGCUCAGCGAAAUUGAAUUCUCCGUGAAGAUGCGGAGUACCCGCGGUUAGACGGAAAGACCCCGUGCACCUUUACUGCAGCUUCAGAGUGGCAUUAGGAAAUUACUGUGUAGCAUAGGUGGGAGGCUUUGAAGCGACGGCGCCAGCUGUCGUGGAGCCAUAGGUGAAAUACCACCCUGUGAUUUUCUGAUGUCUAACCACGCACCGUUAGCCGGUGUUGGGACCCUCUGUGGCGGGUAGUUUGACUGGGGCGGUCGCCUCCUAAAGAGUAACGGAGGCGCGCGAUGGUAGGCUCAGGACGGUUGGAAACCGUCUGCAAGAGUGCAAUGGCAUAAGCCUGCCUGACUGCGAGACUGACGAGUCGAGCAGAGACGAAAGUCGGUCAUAGUGAUCCGGUGGUCCCUCGUGGAAGGGCCAUCGCUCAACGGAUAAAAGGUACGCCGGGGAUAACAGGCUGAUGAUUCCCAAGAGCUCAUAUCGACGGAAUCGUUUGGCACCUCGAUGUCGGCUCAUCACAUCCUGGGGCUGGAGCAGGUCCCAAGGGUUUGGCUGUUCGCCAAUUAAAGUGGUACGUGAGCUGGGUUCAGAACGUCGCGAGACAGUUUGGUCCCUAUCUGCCGUGGGCGUCGAUUGUUGAAAGGAGUUGCCCCUAGUACGAGAGGACCGGGGUGAACGUACCUCUGGUGUACCUGUCAUCCUGCCAAGGGUGCCGCAGGGUAGCUAUGUACGGACGGGAUAACCGCUGAAAGCAUCUAAGCGGGAAGCCUCCCUUGAGAUAAGCAAUCUUCGAACCGUCAUAGACCAUGACGUUGAUAGGCCGGGUGUGGAAGCGCAGUAAUGCGUGGAGCUAACCGGUCCUAAUAGUUCUUUUCGCGCUUGUA
rnacentral:rRNA from 1 species